rnacentral:sRNA from 1 species
GCUGGGCACGGUGGCACAUGCCUGUAAUCCCAGCAACUCGGGAGGCUGAGGCAGGAGGAUCUCAAGUUCAAAGCCAGCCUCAGGAAAAAAAAAAAAGGUGAGGCACUGAACAACUCAGUGAGACCCUGUCUCUU